CCUACGGGAGGCAGCAGUGGGGAAUAUUGCGCAAUGGGCGAAAGCCCGACGCAGCGACGCAGCGUGAGGGACGAAGGCCUUCGGGUUGUAAACCUCUUUCAGCGGGGACGAAGCGAAAGUGACGGUACCCGCAGAAGAAGCACCGGCUAACUACGUGCCAGCAGCCGCGGUAAUACGUAGGGUGCAAGCAUUGUCCGGAUUUAUUGGGCGUAAAGAGCUCGUAGGCGGCUUGUCACGUCGGAUGUGAAAACUCGGGGCUCAACCCCGAGCCUGCAUUCGAUACGGGCUAGCUAGAGUGUUGCAGGGGAGACUGGAAUUCCUGGUGUAGCGGUGAAAUGCGCAGAUAUCAGGAGGAACACCGGUGGCGAAGGCGGGUCUCUGGGCAACUACUGACGCUGAGGAGCGAAAGCGUGGGGAGCGAACAGGAUUAGAUACCCUGGUAGUCCACGCCGUAAACGUUGGGCGNUAGGUGUGGGACCUCCACGUUCUCCGUGCCGUAGCUAACGCAUUAAGCGCCCGCCGUGGGGAGGUACGGCCGCGAGACGUAAACGUACGAAAGAAGUAGUAACGGUCGUGAGAGUGCGAACGGACGACGACGAGGGAGGAGG
rnacentral:rRNA from 1 species